CCUACGGGAGGCUGCAGUGGGGAAUAUUGCACAAUGGGGGGAACCCUGAUGCAGCGACGCCGCGUGGGUGAAGGAGUAUCUCGGUAUGUAAAGCCCUAUCAGCAGGGAAGAACAAUGACGGUACCUGACUAAGAAGCACCGGCUAAAUACGUGCCAGCAGCCUCGGUAAUACGUAUGGUGCAAGCGUUAUCCGGAUUUACUGGGUGUAAAGGGAGCGCAGGCGGCGCGUUAAGCCUGGUGUGAAAGCUCGCGGCCCAACCGCGGGACUGCAUUGGGAACUGGCGCGCUUGAGUGCCGGAGGGGUAGGCGGAAUUCGUGGUGUAGCGGUGAAAUGCGUAGAUAUUAGGAGGAACACCAGUGGCGAAGGCGGCCUACUGGACGGUGACUGACGCUGAGGCUCGAAAGCGUGGGGAGCAAACAGGAUUAGAUACCCGAGUAGUC
rnacentral:rRNA from 1 species